rnacentral:rRNA from 1 species
UACGUAGGGUGGCAAGCGUUUGUCCGGAAUUAUUGGGCGUAAAGGAGCUUGUAGGCGGUUUGUCGCGUCUGCUGUGAAAUUUCGGGGACUCAACCCGAACUUGACAGUGGGUACGGGCAGACUAGAGUGGUGGUAGGGGAGAAGUGGAAUUCCCGGUGUAGCGGUGAAAUGCGCAGAUAUCGGGAGGAACGACCGGUGGCGAAGGCGGCCCCGGUUGGAUACUGACGCUGAGACGCGAAAGCGUGGGGAGCAAAGCAGG